rnacentral:rRNA from 1 species
CCGAGUUUACAACUCCCAAACCCAAUGUGAACGUUACCAAACUGUUGCCUCGGCGGGAUCUCUGCCCCGGGUGCGUCGCAGCCCCGGACCAAGGCGCCCGCCGGAGGACCAACCAAAACUCUUAUUGUAUACCCCCUCGCGGGUUUUUUACUAUCUGAGCCAUCUCGGCGCCCCUCGUGGGCGUUUCGAAAAUGAAUCAAAACUUUCAACAACGGAUCUCUUGGUUCUGGCAUCGAUGAAGAACGCAGCGAAAUGCGAUAAGUAAUGUGAAUUGCAGAAUUCAGUGAAUCAUCGAAUCUUUGAACGCACAUUGCGCCCGCCAGUAUUCUGGCGGGCAUGCCUGUCCGAGCGUCAUUUCAACCCUCGAACCCCUCCGGGGGGUCGGCGUUGGGGAUCGGCCCUUUACGGGGCCGGCCCCGAAAUACAGUGGCGGUCUCGCCGCAGCCUCUCCUGCGCAGUAGUUUGCACACUCGCAUCGGGAGCGCGGCGCGUCCACAGCCGUUAAACACCCCAAACUUCUGAAAUGUUGACCUCGGAUCAGGUAGGAAUACCCGCUGAACUUAAGCAUAUCAAAA